rnacentral:misc_RNA from 1 species
GCUCCUUAGGAAAACUGUGCUUGGGUGUGUCUAAGGAUACGGAAUCAUCGGAUUCGUUAAGGAAAGCGUUAGUUCAGAGGUUGCUAGCGAGGAGCGUCGUACGUGAGGAAAAGCAGAUUUCCGUAGUGGGUGGUAUGUGUAGGGACUAUUGAGACAAAGACUAUUUGUUCCUUUAGAGAAUCUUAGCUGCAUGAAUCCUAAGAUUUAUAGCGGGUCCUUAGGCUCGCUGUAAAUAUUCGGAGAGAGUGUAUCGACAUCUGGCAAUCAUCUGUUCGCAAGGUAGAGUCUUUGUUUA